rnacentral:rRNA from 1 species
AUUGAACGCUGGCGGCAGGCCUAACACAUGCAAGUCGAACGAGUGGCGGACGGGUGAGUAAUGUCUGGGAAACUGCCUGAUGGAGGGGGAUAACUACUGGAAACGGUAGCUCAUACCGCAUACCAUCGGAUGUGCCCAGAUGGGAUUAGCUAGUAGGUGGGGUAACGGCUCACCUAGGCGACGAUCCCUAGCUGGUCUGAGAGGAUGACCAGCAACACUGGAACUGAGACACGUUCCAGACUCCAACGGGAGGCAGCAGUGGGGAAUAUUGCACAAUGGGCGCAAGCCUAAUGCAGCCAGGCCGCGUGUAUGAAGAAGGCCUUCGGGUUGUAAAGUACUUUCAGCGGGGAGGCGUUACCCGCAGAAGAAGCACCGGCUAACUCCGUGCCAGCAGCCGCGGUAAUAC